ACACUCCUACGGGAGGCAGCAGUGAGGAAUAUUGGACAAUGGGUGGAAGCCUGAUCCAGCCAUCCCGCGUGCAGGAAGAUGGCCCUAUGGGUUGUAAACUGCUUUUAUCUGGGGAUAAACCUACUUACGUGUAAGUAGCUGAAGGUACCAGAAGAAUAAGCACCGGCUAACUCCGUGCCAGCAGCCGCGGUAAUACGGAGGGUGCAAGCGUUAUCCGGAUUUAUUGGGUUUAAAGGGUCCGUAGGCGGACUGAUAAGUCAGUGGUGAAAUCCGACAGCUUAACUGUCGAACUGCCAUUGAUACUGUUAGUCUUGAGUAAGGUUGAAGUGGCUGGAAUAAGUAGUGUAGCGGUGAAAUGCAUAGAUAUUACUUAGAACACCAAUUGCGAAGGCAGGUCACUAAGUCUUAACUGACGCUGAUGGACGAAAGCGUGGGGAGCGAACAGGAUUAGAAACCCGAGUAGUCCCAUGAU
rnacentral:rRNA from 1 species